UGACAUUUUAGCACUAAAUCAUAUCUUGAAUUCCAUGGCCACUACAAAAUUCUCCCUUCAAUCAGUUUUGCUGCUUUCCAUGGUUUUGUUUUCCAUGUUGGCUCUUCAUCAUUGUAUGUCCAUAUUAAUUCCUUUUAAACUUAGUUUUUUUUUAUUUUAUUUUAUUAUUAUUAUUAUUAGAAUUACCAAAAAAAUUGCAACAACAUGAAAUAGAUUUAUGUACGAUUACCUGUUGUUAUCUUUUAGUUGAUCUGAUAGUGUAAAAAUUUUUAUUUCACGAAAUGCAGGUGACGAAAGUACAAAAGUUAAAGCACAAGUUUUAAUCGAUCCAUGCAUCCAAGUUCCUGGUGUACCAGCUAAAUGGUGUUGUGCUUGGGCUCCAGGAUGCUAUCCUUCUUAUGAAGAAUGUCUUGCAAAUUGUCACCAUUGA
rnacentral:lncRNA from 1 species